rnacentral:lncRNA from 1 species
UUUGUCAGAAAUGUUUUCAGCACUUGAACGGGUCGUUUUACUUUAUUUUCAAGAUUAUUUUUUUCAGGUAAAAUAUCAUUACCCUCUCUUACUUGGGAGAGUCCAGGUCACACAGUUGUAAAACAGAGCUCACACUACUUCAGAUAUGGCAGAGGACAGGGGUCGAAUGUACCUUAGAGUUCAAUUCUCUAAUGGAACUCUAAGUUCCUCAAGAGAGCAGUCCCACUGCAUAAAACUGCACUUGAACUUUCCUUGGAGAAGCUCCUUCAAGUGCUCUGUUUACAUGGCUGUUUGUGUCUGACCCUGAGCGUUCUUGUGGAUCAGACAACCAGAACUGCUGGAAAAAUCAAGAGACACUGGGGAUCCUUUGCAAGGUGCUGCUGCUAAGAGAGCCAUUGCAACAGCAGGUCAUUACCCUUGACACCAGCCCCAAUGGUUGCUGCAGAAGGCCUCUGGGAGUCAAUGGCAGCAAGGCAGAAGGCCAAAACUAAAACAGCCAUGCAGACCAUGCUUAUGGCCAAAGAGAUGUCAACAAAAAUGACUGCUGUCCCUUCUGGGCUGACAUAUUGAGUUUCUGAUGCAGACGAUUCCAUGCUCUCGUUUCCUGCAGAGUGGACCAUGGAGCGUUGCGUUGAGAGCCCAAGAACUUGCCAGUCAAGAUGAAAAACUUCUUCUAAUGGAAUCCAGCUUGAAAGCUACUCAAGAGCAGCUAACUGAGCAAAUAGCAGAAACAGUUCGCCAAGAACAGAACAGUAGAAAACCCCAGGCAGAGCUGAAGACAGUGACAGAAGGGAUUAUUGCUUCUGAAGAAGAAAAAAAUGAUUACAAGUGGCAUGAAUUGGGCAGAUUUACCAAUUGA